UACGUAGGGUGCAAGCGUUGUCCGGAAUUAUUGGGCGUAAAGAGCUCGUAGGCGGUCUGUCACGUCGGCUGUGAAAACCCGAGGCUCAACCUCGGGCCUGCAGUCGAUACGGGCAGACUAGAGUUCGGUAGGGGAGACUGGAAUUCCUGGUGUAGCGGUGAAAUGCGCAGAUAUCAGGAGGAACACCGGUGGCGAAGGCGGGUCUCUGGGCCGAAACUGACGCUGAGGAGCGAAAGCAUGGGGAGCGAACAGGA
rnacentral:rRNA from 1 species